rnacentral:rRNA from 1 species
AUACGUAGGUGACAAGCGUUAUCCGGAUUUACUGGGCGUAAAGGGCGUGUAGGCGGUCUUGCAAGUCAGAAGUGAAAUUCCUGAGCUCAACUCGGGCGCUGCUUCUGAAACUGCAGGACUUGAGUGCUGGAGGGGAUAGCGGAAUUCCUAGUGGAGCGGUAAAAUGCGCAGAUAUUAGGAAGAACACCGGUGGCGAAGGCGGCUAUCUGGACAGUAACGGACGCUGAGGCGCGAAAGCGUGGGGAGCAAACAGGAUUAGAUCCCCUGGUAGUCCACGCCGUAAACGAUGAAUACUAGGUGUAGGGGGUAUCGACUCCCUCUGUGCCGCAGUUAACACAAUAAGUAUUCCGCCUGGGGAGUACGGCCGCAAGGUUGAAACUCAAAUGAAUUGACGGGG